GACGUAGGGCGCGAGCGUUGUCCGGAUUUAUUGGGCGUAAAGAGCUCGUAGGCGGCUUGUUGCGUCGACUGUGAAAACCCGCGGCUUAACUGCGGGCUUGCAGUUGAUACGGGCAGGCUAGAGUUCGGUAGGGGAGACUGGAAUUCCUGGUGUAGCGGUGAAAUGCGCAGAUAUCAGGAGGAACACCGGUGGCGAAGGCGGGUCUCUGGGCAGUAACUGACGCUGAGGAGCGAAAGCGUGGGGAGCGAACAGG
rnacentral:rRNA from 1 species